CUAUAAAAAGCAUCUCUUCUGUUACAUGUCCUGAUAGGUCAUGUGACCACCGCAGAAAGUCUUAACCAAUGAGAAGUUCCGUUGUGAACAAGGAGUUUUUUCAUUGUUCUGCCAUGUGUUGAGCUGUAAGAAGUAUUUUGAGGAGAGAGUAGCUUUCAGCUCCAGCUUCCCCCAUCCUGGGGCGAGGCCAUUCGUUUUUCCAACUUUAUUUCCUUUUUGUAGUUUGUUCUGAUGAAGCUUCUCAAGAAGGAGAUUUACAUUGAUUGAAACAAUGAGGCUGAUUUAAUUGAAGUCGGACGACCACCAGUGUGCCCGCAAGGAACGCAGCCACGGUGCUGGACAACAUCUCCAGUGAAUGCAAACCGGCAAUCCAGAUGACCAGGGAGCUUCUGCACAGCUAAGUCACAGACUCGGUUGGACUUCACGUGCCAGCCCAAUUAGCAUAGAAGUAUCCAUUCUGGCAUCUACAAACUUUGUCGGUAGGAAACAUCUUGCUUAAUUAAUCUGAUGGUGUGUUCAAAGAUUUAAAUCAGAUCAGAGUAUAUCAAUGUUCAUUCUUCUUCCCCUGAGCUCCCUCUUUGUUUGCUGUAGGCUUAGCAAUAGUGAGUUAGUGUUUCACUGAAAUAUGUUAGAAAGUUGUUCACAUGGUAGCCAUGUCAGACUACUUACGCCACUCCUUGAUCAAGUUUACAGAACUGAUUAUAAAGUGUGUUUUUGUCUGAGAAAUGACUUGUAAUGCAUAUAUUUCCCUCUGAACCUCAUUUUAAAUAAUAUACGGAUGAAUUUCCAAAUGUGA